rnacentral:rRNA from 1 species
UACAGAGGUGGCAAGCGUUGUUCGGAAUUACUGGGCGUAAAGCGCACGUAGGCGGCUUGGUAUGUCGGGUGUGAAAUCCCCGGGCUCAACCUGGGAACUGCAUCCGAAACUGCCUUGCUCGAGUAUGGGAGAGGGAAGUGGAAUUUCCGGUGUAGCGGUGAAAUGCGUAGAUAUCGGAAGGAACAUCAGUGGCGAAGGCGACUUCCUGGACCAAUACUGACGCUCAGGUGCGAAAGCGUGGGGAGCAAACAGG